GACGAACCGUGCUAACGUUGUUCGGAAUCACUGGGCUUGAAGGGCGCGUAGGCCGCCGGCAGGGUCCGGGGUGAAAGCCCCCAGCUCAACUGGGGAAGGGCCUCGGAAACCGGCCGGCUGGAGGGAGGUAGGGGCGUGCGGAACUUCCGGUGGAGCGGUGAAAUGCGUAGAGAUCGGGAGGAAUACCAGUGGCGAAGGCGGCUUCCUGGCCUGUUCUUGACGCUGAGGCGCGAAAGCGUGGGGAGCGAACAGG
rnacentral:rRNA from 1 species